rnacentral:rRNA from 2 species
GUGCGAGACCGAUAGCGAACAAGUACCGUGAGGGAAAGAUGAAAAGAACUUUGAAAAGAGAGUUAAAGAGUACCUGAAACUGCUGAAAGGGAAGCGAAUCGUAUCCAGUGUCUAUAAUCUGCGGCAUAUUUCAUUGGCGGCGGUGCGCGUGCUUUUGCGUCGGAAGCGGCUUUUGUUGCUCUGUGCUUUUGCUGUGCGUGGUGUUGCUGGUGCCCUGUGUUGCGAUGGGACGUCAGAGUCAGUUUGUAUGCUGCGGGAAAUGGCUGCCGAGGAGGUAGGUCGAGAUUUCGGUCUUGGCUGUUAUAUCUUGGUGGUUUGUUGUCGUGGUUGAGACUGAGGUGCCUACAAUGUGCUUUUGAGUGUACCGGGCUCUCAUUUGGUGGACUGUUUGGAUAGCUUGCUAUGCUUGUGGUUUUUUCAUCGGGUGAUUGAGUCUGGUGGUAACUUGUUGCUGUUCGGGACUUUGAA